rnacentral:rRNA from 1 species
GGAAUCUUGGACAAUGGGGGCAACCCUGAUCCAGCCAUGCCGCGUGGACGAUGAAGGCCCUAGGGUUGUAAAGUCCUUUCACCCGUGAAGAUAAUGACGGUAGCGGGAGAAGACGCCCCGGCUAACUCCGUGCCAGCAGCAGCGGUAAUACGGAGGGGGCUAGCGUUGUUAGGAAUUACUGGGCGGAAAGCGCGCGUAGGCGGAUGGUCAAGUCGGGGGUGAAAUCCCCGGGCUCAACCCCGGAACUGCCUCCGAUACUGGACGUCUGUAGGACGGAAGAGGCGAGUGGAAUGCCGAGUGUAGAGGUGAAAUUCGUAGAUAUUCGGCGGAACACCAGUGGCGAAGGCGGCUCGCUGGUCCGUUUCUGACGCUGAGGCGCGAAAGCGUGGGGAGCAAAC